rnacentral:rRNA from 1 species
AAUAGCUCAAAUUUGAAAUCUGGCGUCUUCGGCGUCCGAGUUGUAAUUUGUAGAGGAUGCUUCUGGGCAGCCACCGACCUAAGUUCCUUGGAACAGGACGUCAUAGAGGGUGAGAAUCCCGUAUGCGGUCGGAAAGGCACCCUACACGUAGCUCCUUCGACGAGUCGAGUUGUUUGGGAAUGCAGCUCUAAAUGGGAGGUAAAUUUCUUCUAAAGCUAAAUAUUGGCCAGAGACCGAUAGCGCACAAGUAGAGUGAUCGAAAGACGAAAAGCACUUUGGAAAGAGAGUUAAAAAGCACGUGAAAUUGUUGAAAGGGAAGGGAUUGCAACCAGACUUGCUCGCGGUGUUCCGCCGGUCUUCUGACCGGUCUACUCGCCGCGUUGCAGGCCAGCAUCGUCUGGUGCCGCUGGAUAAGACUUGAGGA